UAGAGAUCCUGCCCUCACGGGUAGACCUCCAACCCUGUGUAUUUAUACCUCGUUGCUUCGGCAGGCCGUCUAGGCUUCGGCUUAGCCAUGGGCUUCGGCUCGUGAGUGCCUGCCAGAAGACACUAAAACUCUUGAUAUAAUUGUCGUCUGAGUAAAAACUUAAUAAGUUA
rnacentral:misc_RNA from 1 species